UGAAGACACGCUUCCUAAUAGGAGAUUAUUCAUCCCUCUGACUUUGAAUGGUGAUGGCAGACGAUGCAUUAUUCAUGUACAUUACAGAGCACAGAGGAAGGUGAGUGCAUUUUGGAGGAACUGUGAGGGAACUUCAGACUGUAAUACUAUGUCAUUAAUUUUAGGAAGUUAUCAAAGUAUAGCUCAGGGGAAGGCUUUUCUUGGCGCUGCUCUUCCUGUAGUGACAGCAGAAUGGAAUGGAAUAGCUGGAAAGGACCUUCAAAGACCAUCCAGUCUCACUUCGUGACUACUUCAGUGAUAGCCAAAAGGUAAAUCUCAUUCUUGAGGGCAUUGUUCAAGUGCCUCUUGAGCACUGACAGGCAUGGGGCAUCAAUCACCUCUCUAGGAAGCCUGUUUCAGGAUUUGACCACCCUCAUAGUGAAGAAAUGUUUCCUAAUGCCAAUCUGACCCUCCCCUGUGCAGAUUAGUGUUGUUCCUGUCCUGCCAUUGGUGACCAAGAGCAGCUCCCUCUGUUUCCCCUCCUCAGAUAGUUGCAUAAAUAAAUAAAAACAAACCGGACUCCCCAGUGAAGGGAAGAAGAAAUACCCUUGUGCUGUGCCACAGAAAUUCCUGUUUGGAGCUCUGUUAGCUAUUUCAGCCCCAGCACCUCUUCAAGCCCCGCAGGCAGCACUCAGCCUUUCUUGGUGACCUCCUUGUAUUUGUGUGCAGCUGUCAAAGCAACAACCAGGGUUAUACAUGAAGCACAGCAGUAGCUUAACAGCAGAAAAAACAGUCCUCCCAUUGAGGUCUUUGAAACACCUUUACCUGAGGUGGAGCUAUGCUUCAGUGAACGACAUCAGCACAUCUAACUUCUGCCAUAGCACUGCAGGCAAGUAUGAAGCAUCCCAUGGAAGCUAGUGGUUUCUCCUUCUGAGGGAACCCAGUCAUGAAAUCCCUCACAAUGCGUUGAAGACAGCAGUACGUGAGGAGUUGUAGUGUUCUCCUAUGAAGAAACUGUAACUCCUG
rnacentral:lncRNA from 1 species